CCUGCAAAUAAAAAAAGUAUUAAUCGCAUUGUGAAUACUGUAUCUACUUGCAUAUAUAUUUCCAUGUAAGCAUAUGAAUGAAUCAACCCAAGUAAAAGAAGGAGACGCAAAAAACUGACCAAAGACAAGAUCUAAAGGAAGUGGGACUUGUAAGACAAGGAAAACUCUUAUCCAAGUUUAAAGCGACGAAGAAAAAAAAAACUGGGUGAAGCAGUCGUCGUGACCACAAAAUAAAGCCAGGCUGCAAAUUGCUAUGUGGCCCUGCUGAUGUGACCCACAUAUAUAAAACAAUCGACAUACAGAGAAUGGUCAAUGGGGCUGAGCUCGGAUAUCAAGGCAAUUCAUGGCGGCACGGAAAAGAUGUACAACCGGAGUCAACUUUUUGCCGUUAAAGGAAACUUUUCCGUGAAAAAGCGAUUGGAACAUACCGUCUCUGUGUUGUGUGCUCUUUUCUCUUGCUAAAACCUUUUGCUUUUGGUUUAAUUUACUAGUUAUAUGGUUCCAAGUCGUUUGAUUACCUUGAGGUGAACGAUUCCAACAGCUUUCUGAUGUUUGUGAUGCCUGCUACUACCGCUUCUAUCGAGACGUUUAAGUCUUCCGGAGGACACGUCGCCGAUGAACCUAACGUCUUCUCCGGCAGCGAGGGUUUCCGGUUGGAGGAUCUUCGAGUAGGAAAUUACGCCGUUGCGUAACAAAAACCAUCUCGAUCUCCAUCCUUUGCCGUAAUUUGUCCAUUUGUAUAAGACUCCGGCGAAGCUUGUGCUGCCAGAACAGGAUUCAGAUCCAGACCUCCUCAAUCCGACGGCAUUGCCGUCGGAUCUCAUGUCCGCCACCGAACACGACCUUGACAACUUCACCCUCGGUUCCGGCGACUGGUCCCCGAUCGAUGGACUCUCUAGCGAUAUACAACACAACGGAUGCAUCUCCUUUACUCUCAUUUCGUCAAUCAAAUUCAAUUCCUCAACUCAAUAAAAAAAAAACCCUGAUCAAACCACCAUCUGCAUAAACAGUCGCAAA